UACGGGGGGGGCAAGCGUUGUUCGGAAUUACUGGGCGUAAAGGGCUCGUAGGCGGCCAACUAAGUCAGACGUGAAAUCCCUCAGCUUAACUGGGGAACUGCGUCCGAUACUGGAUGGCUUGGAUUUGGGAGAGGGAUGCGGAAUUCCAGGUGUAGCGGUGAAAUGCGUAGAUAUCUGGAGGAACACCGGUGGCGAAGGCGGCAUCCUGGACCGGCAUUGACGCUGAGGAGCGAAAGCCAGGGGAGCAAACGGG
rnacentral:rRNA from 1 species